UACGUAGGGUGCAAGCGUUGUCCGGAAUUAUUGGGCGUAAAGAGCUCGUAGGCGGUUCGUCGCGUCGGCUGUGAAAACCCGGAGCUCAACUCCGGGCCUGCAGUCGAUACGGGCGGACUUGAGUGUUGCAGGGGAGACUGGAAUUCCUGGUGUAGCGGUGAAAUGCGUAGAUAUCAAGAGGAACACCUGAGGCGAAGGCGGGUUGCUAGGCUGACACUGACGCUGACAGCGCGAAAGCCAGGGGAGCAAACGGG
rnacentral:rRNA from 1 species